rnacentral:rRNA from 1 species
AACGAACGCUGGCGGCAGGCUUAACACAUGCAAGUCGAGCGCCCCGCAAGGGGAGCGGCAGACGGGUGAGUAACGCGUGGGCAUCUACCCAUCUCUACGGAAUAACGCAUGGAAACGUGUGCUAAUACCGUAUACGUCCUUCGGGAGAAAGAUUUAUCGGAGAUGGAUGAGCCCGCGUUGGAUUAGCUAGUUGGUGGGGUAAAGGCCUACCAAGGCGACGAUCAAUAGCUGGUCUGAGAGGAUGAUCAGCCACACUGGGACUGAGACACGGCCCAGACUCCUACGGGAUGCAGCAGUGGGGGAUAUUGGACAAUGGGGGCAAGCCUGAUCCAGCCAUGCCGCGGGAGUGAUGAAGGCCCUUGGGUUGUAAAGCUCUUUCACCGGUGAAGAUAAUGACGGUAACCGGAGAAGAAGCCCCGGCUAACUUCGUGCCAGCCGCCGCGGUAAUAC